rnacentral:rRNA from 1 species
GUGGCGAACGGGUGAGUAACACGUGGGCAAUCUGCCCUGCACUCUGGGACAAGCCCUGGAAACGGGGUCUAAUACCGGAUAUUGACCAUCUUGGGCAUCCUUGAUGGUGGAAAGCUCCGGCGGUGCAGGAUGAGCCCGCGGCCUAUCAGCUUGUUGGUGAGGUAAUGGCUCACCAAGGCGACGACGGGUAGCCGGCCUGAGAGGGCGACCGGCCACACUGGGACUGAGACACGGCCCAGACUCCUACGGGAGGCAGCAGUGGGGAAUAUUGCACAAUGGGCGAAAGCCUGAUGCAGCGACGCCGCGUGAGGGAUGACGGCCUUCGGGUUGUAAACCUCUUUCAGCAGGGAAGAAGCGAAAGUGACGGUACCUGCAGAAGAAGCGCCGGCUAACUACGUGCCAGCAGCCGCGGUAAUACGUAGGGCGCGAGCGUUGUCCGGAAUUAUUGGGCGUAAAGAGCUCGUAGGCGGCUUGUCGCGUCGGUUGUGAAAGCCCGGGGCUUAACCCCGGGUCUGCAGUCGAUACGGGCAGGCUAGAGUUCGGUAGGGGAGAUCGGAAUUCCUGGUGUAGCGGUGAAAUGCGCAGAUAUCAGGAGGAACACCGGUGGCGAAGGCGGAUCUCUGGGCCGAUACUGACGCUGAGGAGCGAAAGCGUGGGGAGCGAACAGGAUUAGAUACCCUGGUAGUCCACGCCGUAAACGGUGGGCACUAGGUGUGGGCAACAUUCCACGUUGUCCGUGCCGCAGCUAACGCAUUAAGUGCCCCGCCUGGGGAGUACGGCCGCAAGGCUAAAACUCAAAGGAA